UCAAAACCAAACAGCGUUCCCAACAAUGAAAAACCCCCUUCGUUUCUCUUGCUUCAGCCCCAACCACCAUUGUACAGUAUCCACCACCCUUCUCUGUUAUUUCUUAGCCAUGACUAUCACCUAAUAAAAUAAAAUAAAAAAUAUUUCUUCUCUUUUUCUUAUCUUCAACUACUUUCACUAUCUUUGGACCCUUUUGUUUCUUCUCUGUUCAAUUUUCCAAAUACACCCAUCUGGUUAGACACUUGAUUUUCACUUGAAAAGAAUCUUGCACAAUUAACUCUUUCAAAUAGUUUCAAUAACUCUAGAAGGGAAAUCCUUGACCCGGCAUCAUGGAGACUUAGAGCGGCAAAUCGAACAGUGGUUGAAGAAUAUGAGAUGAUGCUUUUCCCUUCUAAUGGUUUAAAGGCACAAUAAAUCUUACAAAUUGUUGCUGCUUUUGGUUGGAGGUCUUUUGUUCAGUGCCCAGGAGAUUACAAUCGAGACAUAGUUCUGGACUUCUACAGCAAUCUUAAUCCAGUAAGUCGUACUUCAACAGUGAGAGCUCCAGGUGGUGGUAGCUUUAAUGUUGCAGGUGCAAAUUUCUAUCAGGGACCAUCUGUAUUUGUACCAACACCACUUCCCACAACAAUGAUGGAUUUAAACAGGGGAAGUUGAUCUACACCAGGUCCGGUGGCAUUUAGCAGUCAGCCUCUCUGUUUUUUCUAAUCUGGAAGCUAACCAUGGAGUAGCUACUACUGACGGUUCGUCGGUUCAUAUUCAACAAGUAAAUGACUUUGAUGUCAGUACAUAACUUGAUCUCUUUCAAGGUAAUGGUCAUGAAAAUUAAGAACUAAGCUUUGUUCAUUCAGGAGAAUGAACAGUUUAGGUGUGGGAGAUGGUAAUUUUCUAGUGAUUUUUUCUCUAUAAUAAUUUUGGGGUUGUUGACUGGUUCCACUUUACUUGUUUGGAGAAAUUGGUUGGUGGAUGUUUGUGAUUUUGUUCACGGGAAGAAGAAAGUUUUUUUCAACAUAACUUUAGAAAGAAAAAAAAACUUUCUUUAAUGCUUUUUUGUUGGAUGAUAGAAUGGAGUACUUUGACAUGCUGAUAGGUGAAGUUUUUUUUGUGUGUAAAUAGGCCAUGAAAUGGCAGAUCUAAGGUUGAUAGUUUGGUGUUAUAGCAAUAAGUACUAAAAUUUUGUUGUACUAGCCAUGAGAGGCAGCUAGAAGUUGACCUGUUGGUUUAUGUUUUCAUGUUAGUAUGAAGAAGAAGGUUGCAACAGGUAACAUCAUUUUGAUAGCUAUGGAAAUAGCUUGUACAUAGUCUAACUUGUUGGUUGUAAUGAAACCUUGAAUGAAAUUUUAAUGUAAGUUAUUUUGGUACUCUGCACAUUUACAACAAAAA